GAUGAACGCUAGCUACAGGCUUAACACAUGCAAGUCGAGGGGCAGCAUGGUCUUAGCUUGCUAAGGCCGAUGGCGACCGGCGCACGGGUGAGUAACACGUAUCCAACCUGCCGUCUACUCUUGGACAGCCUUCUGAAAGGAAGAUUAAUACAAGAUGGCAUCAUGAGUUCACAUGUUCACAUGAUUAAAGGUAUUCCGGUAGACGAUGGGGAUGCGUUCCAUUAGAUAGUAGGCGGGGUAACGGCCCACCUAGUCUUCGAUGGAUAGGGGUUCUGAGAGGAAGGUCCCCCACAUUGGAACUGAGACACGGUCCAAACUCCUACGGGAGGCAGCAGUGAGGAAUAUUGGUCAAUGGGCGCAGGCCUGAACCAGCCAAGUAGCGUGAAGGAUGACUGCCCUAUGGGUUGUAAACUUCUUUUAUAAAGGAAUAAAGUCGGGUAUGUAUACCCGUUUGCAUGUACUUUAUGAAUAAGGAUCGGCUAACUCCGUGCCAG
rnacentral:rRNA from 1 species